CUUUUUUUUUGAGGCAAGCCUAUGAUCAGGAGCAAUUCACCACAGGUGCGCUAGCUAGGACGCCAAAGACUGCUGCGUGUGGCGUUCGGUGGAUCUAUACUCACUAUAAACAUAGCAGAAGCAUCCAGGCACCUGUUUGGCCUCAUCCGGAAAGUGUGUGUCCUCAAUUCUUCAAGGAGCAGCGCGGCCAAGACGAGCAAGACCCUCAUCAUGACAGAAUUCAAGAUCCUGGCCGGAAUCCCUGGCUCACCCCUUUAUGGAUCCACCAGGGGAGGGUCAAUGUCACCUUACUCAAGGGCAGGGAGGUGUGUCAGCAGCUGCUCCAAUUCGCACGCCGGAUGCCACCUGCAACACUGAUGUCCAGCCUCUGCUGGUGUUGAAAGUUGCCCCACUUCUGACUGCUAGCUAGGGGAAAACAACAAACUUUACAGAACACGCAAGACUCAAAUACUUCACCUUAUAACAGAGUAGAAAUGGUUUGGGAGAAAAAAAAAUCAAUGUAUAAAACUACUUAAGAGUAAAAAAGUUAUAUGUGUGAUACUAUGAUAUUAUGCUAAUUACAAACAAAUAUCUUAAAUACCUAAUGUAUGUGUCAACAAUCAUUUUGUAAUUGUGGCUGGGCAGGACUAGCAAUAGCAAAACAAAAAGGAUGUGUUUCAUAAUGUGGUCUGCCAGUCGUUACAAUUCACUGUGGUGAUAUAAUUUCAUAGAAUGGCAUCUUUUGAAGAAAAAUCAUUUUUUUUACAAUUGCAAUAUCAUAAAGUCUGUUGUAUUCAAAUAAAAUUUGAAAGGUCAAAUGAGAAAAAGGAUGUCUACAGUUGGCUUCCCUCUCUUGUGUCAGAGUUCAAUAAAAAUAAAUGAAUAAAUAAAUAAAUAAGCAUACUGUUUUGAGCGAGCAGGUGAUCCUCUGACACAGACUUGAGCAUCAUAACAUUGUCCUGCACAAAAUGUCCAAAUAUUGGACAGUCUUUCGACUAUGCUGCAUUUAUUUUAC